rnacentral:rRNA from 1 species
UAUUGGACAAUGGGCGCAAGGCCGAUCCAGCCAUGCCGCGUGGGUGAUGAAGGCCUUAGGGUUGUAAAGCCCUUUCGGCGGGGAAGAUAAUGACGGUACCCGCAGAAGAAGCCCCGGCUAACUUCGUGCCAGCAGCCGCGGUAAUACGAAGGGGGCUAGCGUUGCUCGGAAUCACUGGGCGUAAAGCGCACGUAGGCGGCUUUUAAGUCAGGGGUGAAAUCCUGGAGCUCAACUCCAGAACUGCCUUUGAUACUGGGAAGCUUAGUUCGGAGAGAUGAGUGAACUGCGAGUGAGAGGUAAAUUCGAGUUUCGCAAGACACCAGUGGCAAGCGGCUACUGCCCGUCUGCGUGCGUCAAAUCGAU